rnacentral:misc_RNA from 1 species
UCCGGUUUAUCACCGGCAGUCUCCACAGAGUCCUCGCCAUUACGCGUUAGUAACUGUGAACAAGGGUUGCGCUCGUUGCGGGACUUAACCCAACAUCUCACGACACGGGCUGACGACAGCCAUGCAGCACCUCUACAGCGACCUCCGAAGAGGGGACCUCAUCUCUGAGGCUUUCCACUGCAGUUCAAACCCAGGUAAGGUUCUGCGCGUUGCUUCGAAUUAAUCCACAUCAUCCACCGCUUGUGCGGGUCCCCGUCAAUUCCUUUGAGUUUUAGCCUUGCGGCCGUACUCCCCAGGCGGGGUGCUUAAUGCGUUAGCUGCGCCACUGACGAGCAAGCUCGCCAACGGCUGGCAUUCAUCGUUUACGGCGUGGACUAC